UAUUUUUUUCUUUUGAAACAGACCUAAUUGUCCCAUAGAACUGAGGUCUAUGGACUUUUUUUUCCCCCUUUUUUGAAUAAACAUAGAAAUUCACCCUCCCUGUCUUACAGCUUGAAACUUAUCUUUGUCUGAUCUGAGUCCUUUUCUCAAGAAACUAAUUCUCAGCCUUCUGGAUAGUAUCACUACAUCCAGACAGUAAGAUUCCAAACCACUCCUCAUUUCAGUUUUCACACACAUAGUUACGUUUCUUCCCUGCUGUAUAAAUCCCUAACUUGAAUCAGUUGGGAAGAUGGAUUUGGGACUCAUCUCCCAUCUCCUGGGCUGCACCAUCUGAAUAAAGUCUUCUUCCCUGGCAAUACUCGUUGUCUCAGUGAUUGGCUUUCUGUGCAGGGAGUGACUGGAUCUAGACCAAACCUCUGGCAUUUUGGUAACACUGUCAAAUGCAUAGGAGGACAAUGGCAAACAAAUACCCUGGGGCUCAGAGACCCAGGCAAGGCUGCCAAGCAGGAAACUGGCAUCUCUCUUCCUCUUCCCUAACCACCUCAGAGACCAUUUUUUCUACCAAGUGUACACUUUCUAAUUUUGAUCUGUUGUACCUAAAUUUCCUUUUUAAAGAAUUUCUACUCCGGGAAACAAGUUGAUUUCUCCACUGAAGGGUUUCACUGUAAUUAAACUGAUUGCUGAAAAAGACAUCAUUCUUCUUUUAUUAAGGCAAUUUGCAUAUUCAAUAACUUUAGCCUCACUUGCUGAAAGACAGUUUGAAAGUUUGUUUGUAUAUUCUCUCAAAUGUUUUCAGAUUGCUUUACCUCAUUUCCAUUAAUGGGGUAAUAAUGGAAAGAAAAUGCAAGAAGAAAUUUAUUUUAAUAACAAAAAAAUAUUUAUUUUGUUUCAAAGCACUACAAUUAAUGGACAACAGAGCCCCUGUGGGGAAACAUCUUUUCAAAAUCAGGUGUUUUGCAGGUGCCAUAAUGGGAAGCUGAAUGCAGAGCUGUCAAUCAUAGAGGAACAUUUGGAAACGCAGCAGCCACAUAAAAGCGUUCCCUGACUUACCCCCUCUGCUCGACGAAGGAGGGAAGGAAGCGCAAAGAAAUCGUCUUGCAAGCAGUUUGGUGGCAUCGAGAGGAACACAGCGGACUGAGUCAUCAGAUGUAUAGGGUGCCCCCUCACAGACCCCAUAGAGCGCCUUCCUGUCCCCAAAACUGAGCCUCAGGAAAGCAUCCUUGCUGCAGAGGUGCUGCAGGUUCUCCUGCCUCAUGACCUUGGGGUUUCAACAGUAAGGCCAUGCCAUGAAGACAUAGUCUAUUCACUUCUAGAUGCUAUAUGCAAUUCUGGGCUCCUUGCAAAAGAAUCCACAGAGCCUGACAGGUGAGGCGGGGGCUGGGGAAGUGUAGGAUGGACAUUUGAGAAUACAAGAUAGUUUGUCAUAUGCAGACGGUACAGGGCUUUGGGGGGACUGGGAGAUGGUGGAACCCUGAUGGUUUUUCUGUCCUUGCUCUUUAGCCACGUUAGGGGGCCAGUCUCGAGACGGUCUCAUAAAUUCUCAAAAUAAGCUCAGUUUGAUGGGCUACAAUUUAUUCAAAAAUAAGACCUCUGGCCUAAAAUACUAGCAUUCAAAAAUGGAGCGGUAAGUGAGGGCACAGCACUGCCAUUGAGCAAGGUUGCAGGGACUGACUUCUGUGUGGCUGGCCAGUGCUGGUGGUUUCUGCCCCCACUAAGAGCAAGACUUAGAAUUAAGGGAUUUCAGAGCUGGAGUUUGGCAAGAAUCCAUGGAUGAGAAUGAAUGAACUUGUUUCACUUUCACUCAGUGUGAAAAUAACACACAGACUAAAGACAGAGGCCACCAAUGCAGACAGCUCCUGGGACAGACAGGAAUUAUACAAAGCGGAGGGCUGGGCAGGGCCCAUUGUGAGCCCAAGGUCAGGAGCUCCUCCUAUACCAGCAUGUGCUACUUAACUCCAGCCAACUUAGCCAGGAAGAAAUGACUGGUCAAAACUGCCAAC
rnacentral:lncRNA from 13 species